rnacentral:rRNA from 1 species
CUACGGAGGCAGCAGUGAGGGAUAUUGGGCAAUGGACGCAAGUCUGACCCAGCGACGCCGCGUGGAGGAGAAGGGCUUCGGCUCGUAAACUCCUUUUCCCGAGGACGAGAACAGGACGGUACUCGGGGAAUAAGUCUCGGCUAACUACGUGCCAGCAGCCGCGGUAAUA